rnacentral:rRNA from 1 species
UACGGGGGGGGCAAGCGUUGUUCGGAAUUACUGGGCGUAAAGGGCUCGUAGGUGGCCAACUAAGUCAGACGUGAAAUCCCUCAGCUUAACUGGGGAACUGCGUCUGAGACUGGAUAGCUUGAGUGCAGGAGAGGAACGCGGAAUUCCAGGUGUAGCGGUGAAAUGCGUAGAUAUCUGGAGGAACACCGGUGGCGAAGGCGGCGUUCUGGACUGCAACUGACACUGAGGAACGAAAGCCAGGGGAGCAAACGGG